rnacentral:rRNA from 1 species
AUUGAACGCUGGCGGCAUGCUUUACACAUGCAAGUCGAACGGCAGCGCGGGCUUCGGCCUGGCGGCGAGUGGCGAACGGGUGAGUAAUGCAUCGGAACGUGCCCAGUAGUGGGGGAUAGCCCGGCGAAAGCCGGAUUAAUACCGCAUACGACCUGAGGGUGAAAGCGGGGGACCGAAAGGCCUCGCGCUAUUUGAUCUGCCGAUGUCGGAUUAGCUAGUUGGUGGGGUAAAGGCUUACCAAGGCGACGAUCCGUAGCUGGUCUGAGAGGACGACCAGCCACACUGGGACUGAGACACGGCCCAGACUCCUACGGGAGGCAGCAGUGGGGAAUUUUGGACAAUGGGGGCAACCCUGAUCCAGCCAUGCCGCGUGCGGGAAGAAGGCCUUCGGGUUGUAAACCGCUUUUGUUCGGGAAGAAAUCCUCUGGGCUAAUACCCCGGGGGGAUGACGGUACCGGAAGAAUAAGCACCGGCUAACUACGUG